GGCAGCAUAGUUCAGUGGGUAGAGCAUGUGUAUUGCAUGCAGAUUGUCCCAGGUUCAGCCCCUGCUGUCGCCA